UGCAGAAAUUUUCGAAACGAAAAUUAUAUAUGCAAUUUAAUAUAUGCAAUGUCAUCACUAUUACGUAGUUGUAUACGGCCAACAGGCAGGACACAUGUUGCGAACAUUAUUAAAACAAAAAUGUUCAACUUAAAGUUAAAUUGUGUUUGUAAACAAAGUCCGAGACAAAGUCAAUACAUUAAUGAAAUAUGUAGAGUCUGUCUUAUCA